rnacentral:telomerase_RNA from 1 species
CAGAGUGCAACCCUCCCACGUGCAGGCGUUGCAGCUUGCUCUAACCCUAACCUCGCUGUUCGACAGCCGUCAAUCCUCCUGCAGUUUUCAGCUUGUUUCUGUGGGUACCUGGUGGUGCGACCCUCCCCCUAAAAAACUUGCUGUGGUCACUGUGUUGCCUCUGCUUCGUUUGGUCGGGCCAGCUUGACCGGUUGUCCGGCUGACGCGUGUCAACAUGGCGGGUUCAUUGACAGCUGGAUUACAAGUAGGACCGCCUCGUGGUCUAUCAACCCCGACCGUGGUUCCGUCACACGUUGGUGUCAAGAUGAUUACAUGGGCGAUAACCUACCCGUAGAGUCCAGCCUUUUAUGGACUAACACGCAGAGUAAUACUGUCAUUGCUCAUCUCACUUGCCGGCACUUUAAAGCCAUAGGUGUUGGCAACAGGCAAUGCCAAACACAC